CCUACGGGUGGCAGCAGUGGGGGAUAUUGCACAAUGGGCGCAAGCCUGAUGCAGCGACACCGCGUGAGCGAAGAAGUAUUUCGGUAUGUAAAGCUCUAUCAGCAGGGAAGAAAAUGACGGUACCUGACUAAGAAGCUCCGGCUAAAUACGUGCCAGCAGCCGCGGUAAUACGUAGGGAGCAAGCGUUAUCCGGAUUUACUGGGUGUAAAGGGAGCGUAGGCGGCCCGGUAAGUCUGAUGUGAAACUUUUGGGCUAAACCACUAAAGUGCGGUGGAAACUGCAGGGCUGGAGUGCAGGAGAGGCAGGCGGAAUUCGUGGUGUAGCGGUGAAAUGCGUAGAUAUUAGGAGGAACACCAGUGGCGAAGGCGGCCUGCUGGACGGUAACUGACGCUGAGGCUCGAAAGCGUGGGGAGCAAACAGGAUUAGAUACCCCGGUAGUC
rnacentral:rRNA from 1 species